UACGUAGGGUGCAAGCGUUAUCCGGAAUUAUUGGGCGUAAAGAGCUCGUAGGCGGUUUGUCGCGUCUGCCGUGAAAGUCCGGGGCUCAACUCCGGAUCUGCGGUGGGUACGGGCAGACUAGAGUGAUGUAGGGGAGACUGGAAUUCCUGGUGUAGCGGUGAAAUGCGCAGAUAUCAGGAGGAACACCGGUGGCGAAGGCGGGACUCUGGGCCGAUACUGACGCUGAGGAGCGAAAGCGUGGGGAGCAAACAGG
rnacentral:rRNA from 1 species